ACGACAAUACUUUACAUAAUACUUGCAACGGCAAAUUGUUUUUAGAAGGCCUAAAGAACACGAGAUACAUCCAUUAGUGCUAUCUAACAAAAAAAGCUUAGUCGAAGAGACCGAAACCCAUGUCCUCAUCGGAUUCCUCUUCCUCUUCAGCAGCAGCCUCGGCAGCGGGUGCCUCAGCUUCACCACCAGCAGCAGCAGCAGGAGCAGCGGCGACUACGAAAGCAGAGGG